rnacentral:rRNA from 1 species
GCGGUUGCGCUAUCGCGAUUUCUUAAUUCAACAUCGAGGUGGUGAUCUCUUCUUUUAAUAUGAACUUUUAGAAGAAUUACWCUGUUAUCCCUAAAGUAAUUUAAUUUUUAUAAGAUUUUUAAUUUCGCGAGUAUAACGUUUUAGUAAAAGUAGUUUAAAUAUWUUAACUAUCCCAGUUAAAUUUAAAGAAAAAUGACUGUSCUGAUUUUAUAGWAAAUUAAAUUUUAUAGGGUCUUAUCGUCUUUUUAAGUUGAUUAAGCAUUUUAACUUAAAAGUAAAUUAUUGUGCAGGUCAAUARYUUAUAUCUGGUCVKACCUUUCAUUCAAGUCCUUAAUUAGAARACAAARGAUUAUGCUACCUUAGUACAGUUUAAAUUACUGCA